GGCAAGUCCCCCUGACCGGGGCRUGUCCGUAGCGGGUGCGAGGCCCAUARCCGCCAGUUCCGUCUCGGAUGCGAUCUCCUGGGAGUCGGGUUGCUUGGGAGUGCAGCCCUAAUCGCGUGGUAAACUCCACGUAAGGCURAAUACCCCCGUGAGACCGAUAGCAAACAAGUACCGUGAGGGAAAGUUGCAAAGAACUUUGAAGAGAGAGUUCAAGAGUACGUGAAACUGCUCAGAGGUAAACGGGUGGGCCCUCGAAAUCCUGUGGCGAGAGGAUUCAGUCUGGAGCUGCGGACGCUUAUGCGGAAGUUUUCGGUAGGGCUUCCCCGCAACGGGGCCGUCCGGAAUAGCGUCUUCCGCGGUGCCAGACGCAUUUGUCUCUCGUYCGAAGGACGCCGCAGCCGGUCGGGCAGUGCAAGCGCGUCGGCCUGAAGGCCGGGAACUGGCAGGUGGCCGGUGGCGAGUCUCGACUCUCCGGCGGUUGUUAGCCGUCCCGGCAGUGGCUCGACGCCCGACCGUGGUGUCGCGAGGCCCUUUCGGGGCCUCUUCGUCUCCACCCCAGAGGCCCGGGACAGACGGUCGCAGGCGAACUCCGCUGUCGCGUCGMACUCCUCGGAGUGGGCCCGCAAACGGAGGGCGCCGUUGGUGGCCACGGACCCGCUGGGGACCGGAGGCUAGCGGCGAGUAGGUCGGUCACCCACCCGACCCGUCUUGAAACACGGACCAAGGAGUCUAACAUGUGCGCGAGUCAAUGGGUCUUGAACAGGCCCAUGGGCGCAAUGAAAGCGAAAGUCGGCCUCCGCGUCGACUGAGUCGGGAUCCCCUCUUUUAAAACAGAGGGGCGCACCGACGACCCGUCCUAUUC
rnacentral:rRNA from 1 species